rnacentral:pre_miRNA from 1 species
UUAACUCAAAUUUAUAUGGAAUUGCAACGUUUGCUUACCUUUGCCGCUAAGGGCACUGUUCCAACUGCGUACAAAUUUCAGUUA